UAGGGUAAACAAACUGACUUCAUUAGCCUG
rnacentral:piRNA from 1 species